rfam:Planctomycetes bacterium RBG_13_60_9 RBG_13_scaffold_5713, whole genome shotgun sequence.
GCCGAUGUAGCUCAAUGGUAGAGCACGGCUUUCGUAAAGCCGGGGUUGUGGGUUCAAGUCCCACCAUCGGCU